AUUGAACGCUGGCGGCAGGCCUAACACAUGCAAGUCGAGCGAGCGGCGGACGGGUGAGUAAUGUCUGGGAAAAUGCCUGAUGGCGGGGGAUAACUACUGGAAACGGUAGCUAAUACCGCAUACCAUCAGAUGUGCCCAGAUGGGAUUAGCUAGUAGGUGGGGUAACGGCUCACCUAGGCGACGAUCCCUAGCUGGUAUGAGAGGAUGACCAGCCACACUGGAACGGAGCAACGGUCCAGACUCCUACGGGAGGCAGCAGUGGGGAAUAUUGCACAAUGGGCGCAAGCCGGAUGAAGCCAGGCCGCGUGUGUGAAGAAGGCCUUCGGGUGGUAAAGCACUUUCAGCGGGGAGGCGUUACCCGCAGAAGAAGCACCGGCUAACUCCGUGCCAGCAGCCGCGGUAAUUC
rnacentral:rRNA from 1 species